rnacentral:rRNA from 1 species
GGGGCCCGCACAAGCGGAGGAACAUGUGGUUUAAUUCGAUGAUACGCGAGGAACCUUACCCGGGCUUGAAAUGCAUCUGACCGGCCUUGAAAGAGGCACUCCCUUCGGGGCAGAUGUGUAGGUGCUGCAUGGUUGUCGUCAGCUCGUGCCGUGAGGUGUCGGCUUAAGUGCCAUAACGAGCGCAACCCUCAUCAUUAGUUACCAUCAGGUAAGGCUGGGGACUCUAAUGAGACUGCCAUCGUAAGAUGUGAGGAAGGUGGGGAUGACGUCAAAUCAGCACGGCCCUUACGUCCGGGGCGACACACGUGUUACAAUGGGUGGUACAAAGGGCAGCUACCUGGCGACAGGAUGCUAAUCUCGAAAACCGCUCUCAGUUCGGAUCGGAGUCUGCAACUCGACUCCGUGAAGCUGGAUUCGCUAGUAAUCGCGCAUCAGCCACGGCGCGGUGAAUACGUUCCCGGGCCUU